rnacentral:tRNA from 1 species
GGGCAUGUAGCUGGGAGGAUUAGAGCACUUGGCUACGAACCAUAUUGUCGGGGGUUCGAAUCCCUCCUCGACCA